rnacentral:rRNA from 1 species
AUACGGAGGAUCCGAGCGUUAUCCGGAUUUAUUGGGUUUAAAGGGUGCGCAGGCGGCCAUUUAAGUCAGCGGUUAAAUCGUGGGGCUCAACCCCAUUCUGCCGUUGAUACUGGGUGGCUUGAUUGCGGUCGAGGUUGGCGGAAUUCGUUGUGUAGCGGGGAAAUGCAUAGAUAUGACGAAGAACACCGAUUGCGUAGGCAGCUGACCAGACCGCAAAUGACGCUCAUGCACGAAAGUGCGGGGAUCGAACAGGAUUAGAUACCCUGGUAGUCCGCACAGUAAACGAUGAAUACUUGUUUUCGGCGAUAUAAUGUCGGAGGCAAAGCGAAAGCGAUAAGUAUUCCACCUGGGGAGUACGCCGGCAACGGUGAAACUCAAAUGAAUCGACGGGG